rnacentral:rRNA from 1 species
GACGAACGCUGGCGGCGUGCUUAACACAUGCAAGUCGAACGAUGAAGCGGUGCUUGCACCGUGGAUUAGUGGCGAACGGGUGAGUAAUAUGUGAGUGACCUACCUUUGACUCUGGGAUAAGCCUGGGAAACUGGGUCUAAUACCGGAUACGACCAAUCUCUGCAUGGGGUGUUGGUGGAAAGCGUUAUGGAGUGGUUUUAGAUGGGCUCACGGCCUAUCAGCUUGUUGGUGAGGUAAUGGCUUACCAAGGCGACGACGGGUAGCCGGCCUGAGAGGGUGACCGGCCACACUGGGACUGAGACACGGCCCAGACUCCUACGGGAGGCAGCAGUGGGGAAUAUUGCACAAUGGGCGCAAGCCUGAUGCAGCGACGCCGCGUGAGGGAUGACGGCCUUCGGGUUGUAAACCUCUGUUAGCAUCGAAGAAGCGAAAGUGACGGUAGGUGCAGAGAAAGCGCCGGCUAACUACGUG